rnacentral:rRNA from 1 species
UACGAAGGGGGCUAGCGUUGCUCGGAAUCACUGGCGUAAAGGGUGCGUAGGCGGGUCUUUAAGUCAGGGGGUGAAAUCCUGGAGCUCAACUCCAGAACUGCCUUUGAUACUGAAGAUCUUGAGUUCGGGAGAGGUGAGUGGAACUGCGAGUGUAGAGGUGAAAUUCGUAGAUAUUCGCAAGAACACCAGUGGCGAAGGCGGCUCACUGGCCCGAUACUGACGCUGAGGCGCGAAAGCUAGGGAGCAAACGGGG